rnacentral:tmRNA from 1 species
GGGGGUGAUCCGGUUUCGACGGGAUGUGUGGAGAUCAGAUCGCGCGUCGAGGAUGUCGGUUGGCCUCGUUAAUCAUCCGAUAAAACAAUAAUCGCGAACAACGAUUACGCUCUCGCGGCCUAAUUACGGCCCCGAUGUCGCCCGGCAGACGCCUGCUAAGCCGUCGCGGCAUAACUCAGCAGGACUUGCUUCGGAGCUCUCCGCUCGGGCGCCGAAGUUCGUAUAACCGAACGGAUGCUCGAGGAUAAGCCCUCCUGUUGGCAUACCUCUUGCGAGAUUAAAGGCAGGAUACACGCGUAGAAGUUUGGUUGAAACUGUUUCGGACGGGGGUUCGACUCCCCCCACCUCCACCA